UACAGAUGGAAAAAAGAAGCUUGGAGAAGGGGAAAUGACUUUACCCAGCUAAGAAUAUGGCAAAGCUGAGCCAACUAGUCAAGUUUUCUGACCCCAAAUCCUGUAUUUCCCAUGACUCAUCUUGUGGAAGGCUGAGGCCUCAGUUUCUCUGUCAGCACCAGAUGGGGACUUCUUCAGCCUGACACUCCAUAACUCAAGGUUGCACCCACAUCUCCUACCUUUGGGGGAAGGAGAGAGGGAUUAUGGGACAGUGGCAUCAAUCUCCUUCCCAGGAUGGAUCCUCUGAGCUCUAUAUUUCUUGCCUAUAGUGACCAGGGAAUUUUCCUCUAUUGAUUGCUUUCUGUAAUCGAGCUUAACAAAUAGAACUUC
rnacentral:lncRNA from 10 species